rnacentral:rRNA from 1 species
UGGCUCAGGAUUAACGCUGGCGGCGUGCCUAAUACAUGCAAGUCGAAUGGUAGUAGCAAUACAAACCAUGGCGAACGGGUGAGUAACACGUAGGCAACCUGACUUUAAGACGAGGAUAACCGUUGGAAACGACGGAUAAUACUGGAUAGGACAUCAUAAAGGGCAUCCUUAGAUGUUUAAAGGUUAUCAUGCCACUUAGAGAGGGGCCUGCGGCGCAUUAGCUAGUUGGUGAGAUAACAGCCCACCAAGGCGAUGAUGCGUAGCCGGACUGAGAGGUUGAACGGCCACAAUGGAACUGAGAACGGUCCAUACUCCGUACGGGAGGCAGCAGUAGGGAAUUUUCGGCAAUGGGCGCAAGCCUGACCGAGCAACGCCGCGUGAACGAAGAAGUUAUUCGUAAUGUAAAGUUCUUUUAUCUGGGAAGAAAAAACAAAUUGACGGUACCAGAUGAAUAAGCUCCGGCUAACUACGUGCCAGCCGCGGC